rnacentral:snRNA from 1 species
GUGCUCGCUUUGGCAGCACAUGUACUAAAAUUGAAAUGAUACAGAGAUGAUUAGCAUGGCCUCUGCUCAGGGAUGACAUGCAAAUUCUUGAAGCAUUUCAUAGUUUU